rnacentral:rRNA from 1 species
GACGAACGCUGGCGGCGUGCUUAACACAUGCAAGUCGAACGGUAAGGCCUCCGGGUACACGAGUGGCGAACGGGUGAGUAACACGUGGGUGAUCUGCCCCCUACUCUGGGAUAAGCCUGGGAAACUGGGUCUAAUACCGGAUAUGACCUCCUUCUGCAUGGUUGGUGGUGGAAAGUUUUUUCGGUAGGGGAUGAGCCCGCGGCCUAUCAGCUUGUUGGUGGGGUAAUGGCCUACCAAGGCGACGACGGGUAGCCGGCCUGAGAGGGCGACCGGCCACCGUGGGACUGAGACACGUCCCAGACUCCUACGGGAGGCAGCAGUGGGGAAGAUUGCACAAUGGGCGAAGGCCUGAUGCAGCGACGCCGCGUGGGGGAUGACGGCCUUCGGGUUGUAAACCCCUUUCAGUCGGGACGAAGCGAGAGUGACGGUACCGAUAGAAGAAGCACCGGCCAACUACGUGCCAGCCGCCGCCGUAAAAC